rnacentral:tRNA from 1 species
UUCAGUUGUAGCUCAGUGGUAGAGUGCUUGCCUAGCAUGCGUGAGGCACUGAGUUCGAUUCUCAGCACAGUAA